rnacentral:lncRNA from 1 species
UAUUGACAUACUGAUGUUGAUGUCAUAUUUCCUUAUCUGAAUUAAGCUCUCGUGGGAAGUAUUAAGAUCUACUAUAAAUAGUUGUAGAGAGCCCAUGGAUACAUCGGCCAACGCCUGAGGUGGGGGACAUUUAAACCAAGUCCACUGUUGUCCUAUCUUUGUGAGUGACACUUUACCAAGCUGGUCAAAUACAAGAAGACUGAAAAGAGAUAGAACACGAGAUAAGCUACAGGAAAAGAAAAUAGAAGGUUUGCUAUUGCAUACGAAAAGGUGUGGAGAACAGGAAACCAAAACCUAAAUAGACAUUUCAUCUUUGCAUCACAAGUGGCACAGUGAAUCUGAAGGAGACUAACUUCAUAUCAUAAAGUGAUCAGGAGAAAGGAAAAGAGACCAUAUCUGGUGUGUUAUCAUUCCUUUACAACUGUGCCAUG